rnacentral:rRNA from 1 species
AGCUUGCUCUCGGGUGACGAGCGGCGGACGGGUGAGUAAUGUCUGGGAAACUGCCUGAUGGAGGGGGAUAACUACUGGAAACGGUAGCUAAUACCGCAUAAUGUCGCAAGACCAAAGUGGGGGACCUUCGGGCCUCAUGCCAUCAGAUGUGCCCAGAUGGGAUUAGCUAGUAGGUGGGGUAACGGCUCACCUAGGCGACGAUCCCUAGCUGGUCUGAGAGGAUGACCAGCCACACUGGAACUGAGACACGGUCCAGACUCCUACGGGAGGCAGCAGUGGGGAAUAUUGCACAAUGGGCGCAAGCCUGAUGCAGCCAUGCCGCGUGUGUGAAGAAGGCCUUCGGGUUGUAAAGCACUUUCAGCGGGGAGGAAGGCGAUAAGGUUAAUAACCUUGUCGAUUGACGUUACCCGCAGAAGAAGCACCGGCUAACUCCGUGCCAGCAGCCGCGGUAAUACGGAGGGUGCAAGCGUUAAUCGGAAUUACUGGGCGUAAAGCGCACGCAGGCGGUCUGUCAAGUCGGAUGUGAAAUCCCCGGGCUCAACCUGGGAACUGCAUUCGAAACUGGCAGGCUAGAGUCUUGUAGAGGGGGGUAGAAUUCCAUGUGGUAA